rnacentral:rRNA from 1 species
CUAUGCGCCUUGCCAGCCCGCUCAGGUGUGCCAGCAGCCGCGGUAAUACGGAGGAUGCGAGCGUUAUCCGGAUUUAUUGGGUUUAAAGGGUGCGUAGGUGGUUAAUUAAGUCAGCGGUGAAAGUUUGUGGCUCAACCAUAAAAUUGCCGUUGAAACUGGUUGACUUGAGUAUAUUUGAGGUAGGCGGAAUGCGUGGUGUAGCGGUGAAAUGCAUAGAUAUCACGCAGAACUCCGAUUGCGAAGGCAGCAUACCGGCGCCCUACUGACGCUGAGGCACGAAAGCGUGGGUAUCGAACAGG